rnacentral:lncRNA from 1 species
UUCUUUGGCCCUUCAAUCAAAUAAAAAUUGUCAAAAGUAACGCAUAAAAAUGGAUGUUGAAUUAAUUGGAAAAUAAGAACUCAAUCUUAAAAUGAAAAUUUAGAGGAAAUCAUUAUUUUUUUAAAAUAAGAAAGCAAAGGAAAAGAGUGCAUACCUCAAUCUUACAAAGCAGUGCCCUUCAAAGAAAGAAGCCCAGAAGCAAAGGCAGCGAGUACAAAUGCUACAGUUUGUCAACAACCAGCAAACAUCCCAUAUAUAUAAAUAAACUGAAGCUGUAAAACAAAGCAUGUAAAAUUAAAUCAAUCAUUACAAAUUCUGAAAUUAAAUAGGCAGGCACUUAACUGUAUAUUUUCCUAUAGAGAUGUACUUUAAGCAGAUAAAAAAUUAUAACAAAUAUUGAAUAAUUUAAAUAAUUGUCAGAAAAGCAAUCUAAAAUAAAACUUUGGAAGAAAUUCUGCUUGUUUUGAAGAUAAAUAGUUGAGUUUGAUGGCAAAAUGAACAUGUAAGAACAAAGCUAUAAUAUGAGUUUUGAGUUCUAAAAUAGAUUAAGCAACACAUAUAUAAUAUUUAAGUUCUACCAGAUUGAUCAAUCGACAAUCCUACUUAUUAUUUCUACAACCAAAUGGGCAAAUCUUAUUUGAAACAAAGUUAGUGGUACAAAAACAAGAAAAGAAAGUAGGAUUUACCUUGCAAGCAAGAAAGAUACAGAUCAAGAACACAAUAUGAGAUGAUUCGAUUCAAUCAGAAAAAGGAAGCACAGAUCAUGAGAAUGGUUUAAGAAAUUUGGUGAGGGAAAUUAGGAAGUCAAUGGUAUACUGAGAGAGAUCAAGCAGAAGACAAUGUCAUUUUUGCAGUAGCUGGCUACCAUGAUAGUAGUAUGGCCAGCUCA